CUGGCCGUAAACGAUGGGCACUGGGUAGGGGGCUCGCCGAUGGGCUCCCUGCCGAAGCGAAAGCGUGAAGUGCCCCGCCUGGGGANCGCAAAACCUUAUCCCGGGCUUGACAUGCACGGAUUAGCCGGCGGAAACGUCGGUGAGGCCGCAAGGUACAACGUGCACAGGUGC
rnacentral:rRNA from 1 species